rnacentral:rRNA from 1 species
UACGGAGGGUGCGAGCGUUAAUCGGAAUUACUGGGCGUAAAGCGCAUGCAGGUGGUUUGUUAAGUCAGAUGUGAAAGCCCCGGGCUCAACCUGGGAAUUGCAUUUGAAACUGGCAAACUAGAGUACUGUAGAGGGGGGUAGAAUUUCAGGUGUAGCGGUGAAAUGCGUAGAGAUCUGAAGGAAUACCGGUGGCGAAGGCGGCCCCCUGGACAGAUACUGACACUCAGAUGCGAAAGCGUGGGGAGCAAACAGG